rnacentral:rRNA from 1 species
UGAAGCCGGAAUUGCUAGUAAUGGCAGGUCAGCAUACUGCCGUGAAUACGUUCCCGGGCCUUGUACACACCGCCCGUCACACCAUGAGAGUUGGGGAUACCCGAAGCCUGUGAGCUAACUUUUAGAGGCAGCAGUCGAAGGUAGAAUCAAUGAUUGGGGUGAAGUCGUAACAAGGUACC